rnacentral:rRNA from 1 species
GAUGAACGCUGGCGGCGUGCCUAAUACAUGCAAGUCGAGCGAACGGACGAGAAGCUUGCUUCUCUGAUGUUAGCGGCGGACGGGUGAGUAACACGUGGAUAACCUACCUAUAAGACUGGGAUAACUUCGGGAAACCGGAGCUAAUACCGGAUGAUAUUUUGAACCGCAUGGUUCAAAAGUGAAAGACGGUCUUGCUGUCACUUAUAGAUGGAUCCGCGCUGCAUUAGCUAGUUGGUAAGGUAACGGCUUACCAAGGCAACGAUGCAUAGCCGACCUGAGAGGGUGAUCGGCCACACUGGAACUGAGACACGGUCCAGACCCCUACGGGAGGCAGCAGUAGGGAAUCUUCCGCAAAGGGCGAAAGCCUGACGGAGCAACGCCGCGUGAGUGAUGAAGGUCUUCGGAUCGUAAAACUCUGUUAUUAGGGAAGAACAUAUGUGUAAGUAACUGUGCACAUCUUGACGGUACCUAAUCAGAAAGCCACGGCUAACUACGUG